rnacentral:lncRNA from 1 species
AGAAUUCUCAUCAGAAUUAAAUGAAAUGAUGAAUAUAGAGCACCUAUUAUAGUGCUCAACACAUGGUAAAUGCUCAAAAAUUUACAUCCUUCGUUGUCAUUAGAAUUGAAGACAUCAUGGUCUAGGUGUUAUGCAUUGAGCCCCAAAGUGAGUUAGUUAGAUGAUGACCUGACAUGUCAGCUGUCAAGCAUACAGAAAUAAGCAGGAUCAAAGAGAAGUCACUGUAGCUGAGGAGGUGAGAAGGUAAGGGGAAGUUCUGAUGAUUAGGAGGUAAAUUCUUGGCUGAGGCUUUGCCUUAUAAAUGGUAUACUUUCAACUUGAAUAUUAAGCAUAAAACAGAAAUCAUCAAUUUCUGUCAUUUUUCCUUUUUAACUAUUAUCUGAUUUUUGUAACUUUUAUUUCAGGUUGAGGGCUACAUGCAAAGCUCUUUUACAUAGAUAAACACGUGUCAUGGGAGUUUGGUGUAUAGAUUUUUUUUCAUCACACAGGUCUUAAGCCCAAUACCCAAUAGUUAUUUGUUUCAUCACCCAGAUAUUAAGCCCAAUAUCCAAUAGUUAUUUCUUCCUCUCACCAUCCCCCUCAAGUAGACCCCAGUGUCUAUUGUUUCCUUCUUUGGGUUCAUAAGUACUUAUCAUUUAGCUCCCUUUUAUAAGUUAUAACACAAUACUUGGUUUUUUGUUCCUGCAUUAGUUUGCUAAGGAUAAUAACCUCCAGCUUCAUUCAUCUAUUAUUUUUUCAAAAAGAAAUUUUGAUGUUAUGCAAAGAUCAAAAUUGAAAUUUAAGCAAAGUGAAUUUCUCAUCAUUUCACUAAAUGGAAACAACCAUUGCCAUGAAGCAUAAUAUGAAACCUCAAUGCACAAAUGGUGGAAUGUAACAGCAUGCGAAAGUCAUGUUUCAACAUAUUUCUUGGAAUUUCUGGGCAGAAUGAACCUUUGUGGAAAUAUCUCUCCAGAAACAUUCAUUUUUGUGAUGAAAGGCUAUCACCAUAGAAUUUCCAUCACCCAGUGAACCUGCAUACAUAAUAGCCAGAGGUAGAGACUCAUUAUUUUCUUUUCUGCUCUUUGAUCCACUCUAGAAAUUUUGGAAAGUUUAAAUAAUAUGGAAUCAUAUGAAUAUUAUUUAAAUUUAAAUGUUUGUAUUUCUGGGAAGUUUGGGUAAUAUUCAUUUGUGUUCAUUUUGUUAGCAAAGCCAAGAUUUUGUUGAUACAGACAUGUAUUAUGUAAUCUUGAAGGUCUUUUCCCACAAUGUCUCGAGUUAACAAAGUUAAACUGAUGCACAAGUUUAUUAUCUUAUUAUUGUAUAUAGAGAUAACUUAUAAGAUGCUACCUAUUUUUGGUACAAAAACUCAUGCUAAUUUGCUUUGAGUAGAACAUCUGAAUUUAUGAUGGCCUUUAGCCUAUAAAAAACGGAAUGACUAACCUAUUCUUGGAUUUUAUUAUGCAGUAGACAGGACAAUGUUAGUAUAAAACACAUUGUUAAAACUGGACAGAAACAGUCUGAAUAAACUGUUGUAAACCUUCAAUGAAGUGAAGAGGUAACAAUUUCUACAAAGGGAUUGUUCCAUUUUGGGCCAAAAUUAUAGCUCUGCAA